rnacentral:rRNA from 1 species
AUCGAACGCUGGCGGCAUGCUUUACACAUGCAAGUCGAACGGUAACAGCCCGCCAGGUGCUGCCGGGUGGCGAACGGGGGGGUAAUGCGCCGUAACGUGCCCAGUCGCUGGGGGUAACUACUCGUAAGAGCAGCUAAUACCUCCUACGAUCUGUGUAUGAAAGCGUGGGUCCGUCCGGCCUCGCGCGAUUGGAUCGGCCGAUGUCAGAUUAGCUAGUUGGUGGUGUAAAGGCGCUCUAAGGCAACGAUCUGUAGCUGGUCUGAGAGGACAACCCGCCACACGGGGAGUGAGAAACGGCCCAGACACCGACGGGAGGCAACAGUGGGGAAUCUUAGGCAAUGGGGGAAAGCCUGAUACAGCAAAGCCGCGGGAAGGAAGAAGGCGUUAGGGUGGGAAAGUGAUGUAGUACGGAACGAAACGGAGCUCGUUAACACCCGAGGAUAAUGACGGUACCGGAAGAAUAAGCACCGGCUAACUACGUG